AACGAACGCUGGCGGCAGGCUUAACACAUGCAAGUCGAACGCCCGAGCAAUCGGGAGUGGCAGACGGGUGAGUAACACGUGGGAACAUACCUUUCAGUUCGGAAUAACUCAGGGAAACUUGUGCUAAUACCGGAUACGCCCGUAAGGGGAAAGAUUUAUCGCUGAAAGAUCGGCCCGCGUUGGAUUAGCUAGUUGGUGGGGUAAAGGCCUACCAAGGCGACGAUCCAUAGCUGGUCUGAGAGGAUGAUCAGCCACACCGGGACUGAGACACGGCCCAGACUCCUACGGGAGGCAGCAGUGGGGAAUAUUGGACAAUGGGCGAAAGCCUGAUCCAGCCAUGCCGCGUGAGUGAUGAAGGCCUUAGGGUUGUAAAGCUCUUUCACCGAUGAGGAUAAUGACGGUAGUCGGAGAAGAAGCCCCGGCUAACUUCGUGCCAGCAGCCGCCGUAAAAC
rnacentral:rRNA from 1 species